rnacentral:tRNA from 1 species
GGUUGUGGCUCAGUGGUAGAGCGUUUGCCUCUGAUGUGUGAGGCACUGAGUUCAAUCCUCAGCACCA